rnacentral:rRNA from 1 species
UUGGGAGAUAUCUCGUUCUCCUCGAAAUAGUUUUUGGGCUAGCCUCACUAAAUUGCCCGCAGGGGUAGAGCUACUGGAUGGUGUUGAGGGGCCGCGAGCCUGCUCAUGCCAACCAAACUCCGAAUACUGCGGAUUGCAUAGUGGGAGUCAGACUGUGGGCGAUAAUGUUCAUAGUCAAAAGGGAAACAACCCAGACCACCAGCUAAGGUCCCAAAUUAAGUCUCAGUUCUUAAGGAAGUCAGGGUGCAGUGACAACCAGGAUGUUGGCUUAGAAGCAGCCACCAUUUAAACAACGCGUAAUAGCGGACUGGUCGAGGACUCUGGCGCCGAUAAUGAUCGGGAAUCAAGACUUAAACCGAAGCUGUGGGCUCCGUAAGGAGCGGUAGAGGAGCGUUGCUGCCAGCGUCGAAGCGAGAUCUUAAGGUCUCGUGGAGCGGUAGCAAGUGCGUAUGCCGGCUUGAGUAACGAUAAAACAGGUGAAAAUCCUGUUCGCCGUAAACCUAAGGUUUCCUGGGGAAGGUAAAUCCGCCCAGGGUUAGUCGGUACCUAAGGAGAGGCCGAAAGGCGUAUUCGAUGGACAGCAGGUUAAUAUUCCUGCACCGUGUUAAAGGGUUGAAGCAGCGUGACGGACUUUCGGAGUGAGUCGCACGAUUAGACGUGUGCGUCUCGAAGGAGCGAGGGCUCGAUCCCGAAGCUCACGAAGAAAGUCUCAAGAAAUAGCGUCUGUGGACUGAUAACACGUCCGUACUAAAACUGACACAGGUAGGUGGGGUGAAUAACCUCAGGCGCUCGAGAGAACAGUCGUGAAGGAACUAGGCAAAUUAACCCCGUAAGUUAGCGAUAAGGGGGCCCUCCUCGCUUCGGCGAGAGGGCGCAGAGAAAAGGCUCUGGGAACUGUUUAUCAAAAACACAGGACUGUGCCAACUCUUAUAGAGGAAGUAUACAGUCUGACGCGUGCUCGAUGCUGGAAUGUCAAGGAAGCAGGUCAGCCGCAAGGCGAAGCUUGCGACUUAAGCACCAGUCAAUGGCGGCCGUAACUCUGACGGUCCUAAGGUAGCGAAGUUCCUUGUCGGGUAAGUUCCGACGCGCAUGAAUCGCGUAAUCACUGGAGCACUGUCUCCACGACUGACUCGGUGAAAUAGAUGACGCGGUGUAGAUACCGUGUACCCGCAGCAAGACGGAAAGACCCCGUGCACCUUUACUGUAGGCUGGUAUUGGCCACGAAUACGUUCUGCGUAGGAUAGGUGGGAGGCUUCGAAGCUCUGGUUUUGGCCAGAGUGGAGCCGCCGUUGAAAUACCACCCUGAAUGUUUUUGUGACCUAACCUUGAUCCGUGAAACCGGACAAGGGACCGUGCUAGCUGGGCAGUUUGACUGGGGCGGCCUCCUCCCAAAAAGUAACGGAGGAGUGCAAAGGUUAGCUCAGCACAGUUGGAAACUGUGCGUUGAAUGCAAGAGUAUAAGCUAGCUUUACUGCGAGACGUACAUGUCAAGCAGUUACGAAAGUAGGCUCUAGUGAUCCGGCGAUCCCGUGUGGGAGGGUCGUCGCUCAACGGAUAAAAGGUACGCCGGGGAUAACAGGCUGAUCGCGCCCGAGCGUCCAUAGCGGCGGCGCGGUUUGGCACCUCUAUGUCGGCUCAUCACAUCCUGGGGCUGAAGUCGGUCCCAAGGGUUGGGCUGUUCGCCCAUUAAAGUGGUACGCGAGCUGGGUUC